rnacentral:rRNA from 1 species
GUGGGGAAUCUUGCGCAAUGGGCGAAAGCCUGACGCAGCCAUGCCGCGUGAAUGAUGAAGGUCUUAGGAUUGUAAAAUUCUUUCACCGGGGACGAUAAUGACGGUACCCGGAGAAGAAGCUCCGGCUAACUUCGUGCCAGCAGCCGCGGUAAUACGAAGGGGGCUAGCGUUGCUCGGAAUUACUGGGCGUAAAGGGCGCGUAGGCGGAUAUUUAAGUCGGGGGUGAAAGCCCGGGGCUCAACCUCGGAAUAGCCUUCGAUACUGGAUAUCUUGAGUACGGGAGAGGUGUGUGGAACUCCGAGUGUAGAGGUGAAAUUCGUAGAUAUUCGGAAGAACACCAGUGGCGAAGGCGACACACUGGCCCGUUACUGACGCUGAGGCGCGAAAGCGUGGGGAGCAAACAGGAUUAGAAACCCGGGUAGUCC